rnacentral:rRNA from 1 species
UCCAGACUCCUACGGGAGGCAGCAGUGGGGAAUAUUGGGCAAUGGGCGCAAGCCUGACCCAGCAACGCCGCGUGAAGGAAGAAGGCUUUCGGGUUGUAAACUUCUUUUGUCAGGGACGAAGCAAGUGACGGUACCUGACGAAUAAGCCACGGCUAACUACGUGCCAGCAGCCGCGGUAAUACGUAGGUGACAAGCGUUAUCCGGAUUUAUUGGGUGUAAAGGGCGUGUAGGCGGGAAUGCAAGUCAGAUGUGAAAACUAUGGGCUCAACCCAUAGCCUGCAUUUGAAACUGUAUUUCUUGAGUGCUGGAGAGGCAAUCGGAAUUCCGUGUGUAGCGGUGAAAUGCGUAGAUAUACGGAGGAACACCAGUGGCGAAGGCAGCAUACCGGCGCUCAACUGACGCUCAUGCACGAAAGCGUGGGUAUCGAACAGGAUUAGAUACCCGCGUA